GUGGCCACGGUCACCGGCUCCAUCCUUCCUCCACAGUGUGAGGGACCUGGCAGUGGUGAGAGAGGAGGUGUCGGCGCGGAUGACUUAGGGCCGCAGAAAGCACGUCACCCUCCCACGGACUGAAUAUGAUCAAGCUUAAAAACCUUCAAGGAAAAGCCACUAAAAAAAGGAAUUAACCUCACCUCAGAUGAGAUUGUCAACUCUAUGCAAAUUGGGAAACACUGUGUGCAUAAGGGAGAUUGAAAAAGGAAAGUAAGUGUUGGAUUUCUUGGGACUGAGAAGACAAGUAUUAUUGAAGCUACGAGGAACAGAUACCGGAGCCUGCGCCAACCCCACAUUCCUCAUCUGGCAGCAGUCCUUCGGGUGUGUCUGUUCCCAGAAGGACUGGUGAAGUUGACAUUGUGUGUGGAGCCAUGGCCUUCCGGGAGUCUUGGGAGCUGGUGAUACUAUCUUCUGUAUGGACGAGCUGGGCAGCAGUGGUGUGAGAGACACUGGAGCUCUUCCUUGCAGGAGAGGAAGUAUUAAGGGGUCUUUCCUUCCUUCCUGUUUCCCUCCCUUCCUCUUUCCAUGGAAAAUUUCACACACACACAUAAAAGUAGAACAAAGAUAACAAGGGACUACUGGACAGCCACAAAUUUCUGUUGACCCAGGACAACCAACAGUGCCAGAUGCCACCACCAAGAGCACCAAUAGGUCUUCUUGCUAAUAAACAGCAAGGGGAUUUCAGAGAGUUAAAGGAGUGUGUAUUUGGUGAUGCUGAGACAACAGUUCCAACUACACCAUCCCUCUCAUGGAGUACAGAUAAAAUGCAUUUUCAUUUCUCAUAACUGCUUCAUAUGUCAGCAGUCCUCUUUGUUUCUGUAUGGAUUCAUCCUGACAUGACUGCAGCCAUCUUGAGUCAUAAGCACCAUGAUGUCCCCUGGAAAAAUCCCAGUUAGUUUUUUUUCUGCACAGUUUUCCAGCAAAUAUGAAUAGACAAAAGCAUUACUGUGGUAUGUGGAGCUAUACAACUGUACCCUGGCAUCAGGAAUGUGCCUGUCUCCUUGAUGUUACCUUAGAUAAACCAGGUACAAUUAUGGGUUUGAUGAAGACACUUUGUCCUUACCCAAUUUAUACGCCCCUCCUUACUCAAAUUGUGAGGAUCUACUUGAUCUUGCUGCUGCCCAGGACUAUACUUCCAAAGGUCCCCAAUAAAUUUGUGCAAGGCUGGUUCUGA